rnacentral:rRNA from 1 species
AUGGAGAUCACGGCUUCCACCCUUCUGCUGCUUAUGGCUAGCGUGCUGGUCCAUGUCCUGCCUACGAUCUGCGCGACGGUAGGUGGCUUCAGCCUCCCACUGGUCGCCAACCACGGCGGGGGCACGUACCGGGUGGACAAUGACGGCGUCGUGGUCGUGAACACCACGAACUUCCACCACCGUUCCUCCGUGACGGGCCCCCUGGAGUAUAUGUACGGCGUGGCUGUGGGCGUCGGCACGGGCCAUGGCAAGGGUGCCUACUUCCUCGUGCUGGACACGGCCAGCAGCCUGACGUGGAUGCGGUGCCUGCACUGCUUGCCGGAGCAAUCACAAUACGGCUCGGUGUUCGACCCUGGCCACUCGGGCAGUUACCGCCCUCUCCAAUCGACGAGCCCCCUGUGCCGGCCUCCCAACCCGGUCCACCCCGCCGGCCACAAGUGUUCCUUCCACCUCCCACACGGGUUCGUCGGCGUCGACACCAUCAUUCUGGGUAAUCCGACUUUGCCUAUCCACGGCAUCGCCUUCGGGUGCGCGCAGGCCACCGAGGCGUUCCACACCAAAGGCACAUUCGCAGGCACACUGGGCAUGGGUCGGCUGCCUACGUCCCUCAUCAUGCAAAUCAAAGACUGUGUCGCCUGGCGCUUCUCUUACUGUCUGAUCGGCCAAGGUCACAGCCAGGACCGGCACGGCUUCAUUCGCUUCGGCGCCGACAUCCCGGAGCCCCUACCUCUAGGCCACCAUCGCAUCAAGAUCCUUCCUACGCCACCACACCUCCCACAUGGCGUCGCCGACUCGGCUUACUACGUGAAGCUUCUGGGCGUGAGCCUCAAUGGGUCCCCGAUCCCGGGCAUCCACCAGAAUAUGUUCGAGCGGCGACACGACGGGUCAGGCGGAUGCUUCGUGGACAUCGGCAUACAGGUGACCCAUCUGGUGUGGGCCGCAUACACGCUCGUCGAGAAUGCGGUGGCCGGUGUGCUGCAGCAGUGGGGGUACGAGCGCGUGCAUGACCACAACUUCCGCCUGUGUUUCCGGCAGAAGCCCGCGAUCUGGUCACGUAUCCCAAGGCUGACGCUCGACUUUGAGGGUCCGACUACUCGGCACGGGGAGCGCACACGCGCACACCUUGAAAUCCGCUCACGGGGCCUCUUCUUCAAUGUUGACAACGAGCAGUUGUUGUGCUUUGGCGUGUACCCCACAACCAUGGGCCAUACGACGGUCAUCGGAGCUAUGCAGCAGGUGGAUACGCGAUUUAUUUUUUACCUCAGGGCCAACACCAUCACCAUCCACCCGGAGAGCUGUGAGGAUGACACCGUGCCCACCCCGUCCGAGUGGUGA